rnacentral:rRNA from 1 species
GUAGGGAAUCUUCCGCAAUGGACGCAAGUCUGACGGAGCAACGCCGCGUGAGUGACGAAGGUUUUCGGAUCGUAAAACUCUGUUGUGAGGGAAGAACACGUACCAACUAACUAUUGGUACCUUGACGGUACCUCACCAGAAAGCCACGGCUAACUACGUGCCAGCAGCCGCGGUAAUACGUAGGUGGCAAGCGUUGUCCGGAAUUAUUGGGCGUAAAGCGCGCGCAGGCGGUUCCUUAAGUCUGAUGUGAAAGCCCACGGCUCAACCGUGGAGGGUCAUUGGAAACUGGGGAACUUGAGUGCAGAAGAGGAAAGUGGAAUUCCACGUGUAGCGGUGAAAUGCGUAGAGAUGUGGAGGAACACCAGUGGCGAAGGCGACUUUCUGGUCUGUAACUGACGCUGAGGCGCGAAAGCGUGGGGAGCAAACAGGAUUAGAUACCCGUGUAGUCC